rnacentral:rRNA from 1 species
GCCCCAGUAACGGCGAGUGAAGCGGCAACAGCUCAGAUUUGAAAUCCGGCCUCGGCCCGAGUUGUAAUCUGUAGGGGAUGUCCCUGGCGCGGCGCCUACCGAGUUCCCUGGAACGGGACGCCAUAGAGGGUGAGAGCCCCGUAUGGUGGGAUGCCUAGCCUUUGUGGGACUCCUCCGACGAGUCGAGUAGUUUGGGAAUGCUGCUCAAAUUGGGAGGUAAAUCUCUUCUAAAGCUAAAUACCGGCCAGAGACCGAUAGCGCACAAGUAGAGUGAUCGAAAGAUGAAAAGCACCUUGGAAAGGGGGUUAAACAGCACGUGAAAUUGUUGAAAGGGAAGCGCCCAUGACCAGACUCGGGCCGGGCGGAUCAUCCAGCGUUCUCGCUGGUGCACUCCGCCCGGUACGGGCCAGCAUCGGUUUUCGCGGGGGGAUAAGAGCGGCGGGAACGUGGCCCCUCCGGGGGUGUUAUAGCCCGCCGCACGAUGCCCUCUUGGAGACCGAGGUACGCGCUCUGCAAGGAUGCUGGCAUAAUGGUCAUCGGCGACCCGUCUUGAAACACGGACCAAGGAGUCGUCCAUUACGGCGAGCGUUUGGGUGUCAAACCCCUACGCGUAAUGAAAGUGAACGCAGGUGAGAGCUUCGGCGCAUCAUCGACCGAUCCUGAUGUAUUCGGAUGGAUUUGAGUAAGAGUCGUAACGGACGGACCCGAAAGAUGGUGAACUAUGCCUGUAUAGGGUGAAGCCAGAGGAAACUCUGGUGGAGGCUCGCAGCGGUUCUGACGUGCAAAUCGAUCGUCAAAUAUGGGCAUGGGGGGCGAAAGACUAAUCGAACCAUCUAGUAGCUGGUUACCGC